rnacentral:rRNA from 1 species
AUUGAACGCUGGCGGCAGGCCUAACACAUGCAAGUCGAGCGGAGCGGCGGACGGGUGAGUAAUGCCUAGGAAUCUGCCUGGUAGUGGGGGAUAACGUCCGGAAACGGGCGCUAAUACCGCAUACUAUCAGAUGAGCCUAGGUCGGAUUAGCUAGUUGGGGGGGUAAAGGCCUACCAAGGCGACGAUCCCUAGCUGGUCUGAGAGGUUGACCAGCCACACUGUAACUGAGACACGUUGCAGAUUCCUACGGGAGGCAGCAGUGGGGAAGAGGGCACAAUGGGGGCAAGCCUGAUGCAGCCAUGCCGCGUGUAUGGAGAGGGCCGUCGGGUUGUAAAGUACUUUCAGCGGGGAGGCGUUACCCGCAGAAGAAGCACCGGCUAACUCCGUGCCAGCAGCCGCGGUAAUUC